UGAAGCCAUGGGCGAUUUGCUCGCGCGCGGCGAGCCGUGUCAAGGCGCCGCGCCUUGGAACCAGUGCGAGCCUGGGGCUUUAAC
rnacentral:tRNA from 2 species